rnacentral:rRNA from 1 species
CCUACGGGAGGCAGCAGUGGGGAAUAUUGGACAAUGGGCGAAAGCCUGAUCCAGCAAUACCGCGUGUGUGAAGAAGGCCUGAGGGUUGUAAAGCACUUUCGUUUGGGAGGAAGAGAUUUACGUUAAUAGCGUAAAUUGAAGACGUUACCAAAAUAAGAAGCACCGGCUAACUCUGUGCCAGCAGCCGCGGUAAUACAGAGGGUGCGAGCGUUAAUCGGAAUUACUGGGCGUAAAGGGUGCGUAGGUUGUUCUGUAAGUCAGAUGUGAAAACCCGGGGCUUAACUCCGGAAGGUCGUUUGAUACUGCAGGGCUAGAGUUUUGAAGAGGACAGUGGAAUUUCCGGUGUAGCGGUGAAAUGCGUAGAUAUCGGAAGGAACAUCAGAGGCGAAGGCGACUGUCUGGUCAAAAACUGACACUGAGGCACGAUAGCGUGGGUAGCAAACAGGAUUAGAUACCCUGGUAGUCCACGCCGUAAACGAUGAGAACUAGCUGUUUGUCCCUUCGGGGAUGGGUAGCGCAGCUAACGCAUUAAGUUCUCCGCCUGGGGAGACGCGCGAGACGAACUACAANAGAGUAGAGCGNGAGAGNGCGAGACGACGACGAGGAGAGG